UCUUCUUUUUAUUUUUUCCGGUGGUUAUGAGUUGGCGAAGCAGCCCAACACGGCGCCAUUCUCAAUGUGGACGUAAUUAAUCUUAUCAACCAGCAAAAUUAUCUUUCUUUUUGCUCUGGUGUCCACCCUCGCAUUCAUUCCGGUUGUAGGAUAAAUUCCUUUGACGGUAUCCCAGAAUUCUUCGUUCUGAUGAAGGUUCUUCAUGGCAAAAGCCCAUGAUGCAUAAUUCUCUCUGCAAAGAAAUUUUUCCAAACUGAAAUUUAUAAGUUUAGCCAUUUUAAAACAUUAAUAUAACUCCGACACUUUUAAAACAGUUCAAUUAAUUUCAUUGGGCACACUCUGGGCCCAUUACCUGUUGUGAUGGUGUAAUAAAAAUUCUAUGAAAUUAUUGAAUAUAUAAAGUGUAUUUUAA